rnacentral:rRNA from 1 species
GUGUCAGCAGCCGCGGUAAUACGGAGGGGGCUAGCGUUGUCCGAAGUUACUGGGCGUAAAGCGCGCGUAGGCGGGUUGGUAAGUCCGCUGUGAAAGCCCGGAGCUUAACUCCGGAGGGUCGGUGGAUACUGCCAGUCUUGAAGGUGCUAGGGGGAGAUGGAAUUACCGGUGUAGCGGUGAAAUGCGUAGAUAUCGGUAGGAACACCAGUGGCGAAGGCGGUCUCCUGGGGCAUUCUUGACGCUGAGGCGCGAAAGCUGGGGGAGCAAACGGGAUUAGAUACCCCGGUAGUCC